GGGAACUAAUAUAAUGGCGGAUAGGGCUGGAUUUCUGUGUUUUUUCGAUCGAACAAUUGCCAUUUAAGGCUAUUUCUAUGGAUCCAAAGGUAUUGGUGAAAACAAUAUGAGGGCCAUCUCAAACAUAUAGGCCGAUGAGACCAUAGAGUUGGGAUUUCCACCUAAAAAAUCAACAGAAAGUAGCAGUUAUGGCGAGUAACAUUGAAGAAAAUUCACUCUCGGUCUCAGCAACGGGUAUUCGAAAACCCUG